CUUGGCGAUACUGUGUACCAACGUAGUUAUUACACAUUUUAUACUUCACUGUGUGACUGGGUUGUUACAAUUACAGUAAAGGAAUUAUAUUCUAUAUAUAAAUAACAACUGCCCAUCUACUGUCAUACAUUCUGAUGGGUCACAGACUUCAGUGUAAAACUGUAACCAUUUAGUUCAAGCUUAUUUUUUGUCAAGGCUUAAUUAUUAACCAUGUUGAUGUUCUUAUUGCAGUACAUCCUCUCUAUAUAUUGGCACUAAGUCCUUCCGGCACAAUAUUUUAGAGGCUCAUGGCAAGAGCAAAAGGCACGAGCACUGUGCCGUUGCCGCCAGAGGAACAGAAGCACCCAUUCCAGCUGUCAUCGAAGGACUGCAAAAGAUGGAUGACGCUCUGCGUCUAAAAAUGACGAACAUUAUGCAUGAACAUUAUGCAUGCUGCAUAUUAUGUAGCAAAACAAGAAGUGCCCUUUACCCACUUUUCAUCCCUUAAUGGCCUGAUCAACAGGACUGGAGGAAGUCUUCCAGGCUGUUACCAGUCUGACAAAGCCUGUGCUAGGUUCAUCGUAGACAUUUACGAUGUGGAGAGGGAAAAGUUGCUGGAUAAAAUUAAAAAAGCCAUAUACUUUUCAAUUCUCAUUGAUGGGGCAACAGACAGCACUACAAUAGAGAAUGAACUCAUUUAUGUUCGCUUUCUAGCAACGGAUGGGCCAGUCAAUGCCUACGUCUAUCCAAGACGUUAAACAUGGCAAUGCAAAUGGCAUCCUGGAUGCCAUCCAUGCAGCUUUUGAGGAAGCUGGCAUUAUUGAUUGGAAGGAGAAAUUAGUUGGGUUUGGCAGCGAUGGGGCAGCUGUGAAUGUGGGCUGCAGAAAUGGCGUUGCAGCGCUUCUGCAGAAGGAACUCAACCACCCCCUCAUCUCAAUCCACUGUGUUGCCCACAGAUUAGAGCUUGGCAUCGUAAAGGCAAUUAAAACCCACAAAAAGAUGGAGCAAAUGCAGACAAUGCUAAAAAACCUGUACGAUCAGUACCACUACUCCCAAAAAAGGCUGUCAGAGAGCUCAGAAUGAUUGCAGAGGCACUUGAAGAAAAGGUGUUGAAGCCAUCAAAUCUACAUGGCGCCCGCUGGCUUCCCUAUGUGCAUCGUGCAAUCAAGGUCAGAAUUUUAGUAAAUUAUUAAACAUAACCUGUUGAGUUAAUCCUCUUGUUUAUAAUUUGAACAAUAGAAAAUGGUGCAAUACAGUAAUGAUAAUAUCUUUUACAGAUUGGGUGCGACAGCUAU